CCUACGGGAGGCAGCAGUGAGGAAUAUUGGUCAAUGGGCGUAAGCCUGAACCAGCCACGCCGCGUGAGGGAUGAAGGUUCUCUGGAUCGUAAACCUCUUUUAUAAGGGAAUAAAGUGUGGGACGUGUCCUAUUUUGUAUGUACCUUAUGAAUAACGAUCGGCUAACUCCGUGCCAGCAGCCGCGGUAAUACGGAGGAUCCGAGCGUUAACCGGAUUUAUUGGGUUUAAGGGGUGCGUAGGCGGCCUUUUAAGUCAGCGGUGAAAGCCUGCGGCUCAACCAUAGAAUUGCCGUUGAAACUGGGGGUCUUGAGGAUGCAGGAGGAAGGCGGAAUGCGAGGUGUAGCGGUGAAAUGCUUAGAUAUAACGCAGAACCCCGAUGGCGAAGGCGG
rnacentral:rRNA from 1 species